rnacentral:rRNA from 1 species
AUUGAACGCUGGCGGCGUGCCUAACACAUGCAAGUCGAGCGGUAACAGGUGUAGCAAUACAUGCUGACGAGCGGCGGACGGGUGAGUAACGCUUGGGAAUCUGCCUGUUAGUGGGGGACAACCCGGGGAAACUCGGGCUAAUACCGCAUACGCACUACGGUGGAAAGCCGGGGACCGCAAGGCCUGGCGCUAACAGAUGAGCCCAAGUCGGAUUAGCUAGUUGGUAGGGUAACGGCCACCAAGGCGACGAUCCGUAACUGGUCUGAGAGGACGACCAGUCACACCGGAACUGAGACACGGUCCGGACUCCUACGGGAGGCAGCAGUGGGGAAUAUUGGACAAUGGGCGAAAGCCUGAUCCAGCGACGCCGCGUGGGUGAAGAAGGCCUGCGGGUUGUAAGCCCUUUCGGUGGGGAAGAAAAGCCUCGAGUUAACACCUCGGGUCUUGACGUAACCCAUUAAGAAGCACCGGCUAACUCUGUGCCAGCAGCCGCCGUAAU